GACGAACGCUGGCGGCGUGCUUAACACAUGCAAGUCGAACGGGCCUGUCUUCUUUUUUGGGGGUGGGUUGAGUGGCGAACGGGUGAGUAUCACGUGAGUAACCUGCCCUUCGGUCCUGGAUAACCGCUUGAAAGGGCGGCUAAUACGGGUGGUCCGGGUGGUCCGCAUGGGCUGGUCGGGGUAGAUUCCCUGUUUUUGGGGUUUCGGCGGGGGGUGGGCUCGCGGCCUAUCAGCCUGUUGGUGGGGUGAUGGCCUACCAAGGCGGUGACGGGUAGCCGGCCUGAGAGGGUGGGCGGCCACACUGGGACUGAGAUACGGCCCAGACUCCUGCGGGAGGCAGCAGUGGGGGGUAUUGCACAAUGGGCGGAAGCCUGAUGCAGCGACGUCGCGUGAGGGAUGGAGGCCUUCGGGUUGUGAACCUCUGUUUCCGGUGGUGAAGGCCCUGUCCGUGUGGUGGGGUUGACGGUAGCCGGGGAUGAAGCGCCGGCUAACUACGUG
rnacentral:rRNA from 1 species